CACUGACCUAAUUUAGGGUUAACUAUUAUGUCAGAGUUCUGAGAAGGAGAGGAGUGCGUCGAUCGCAUGUUUUCCUUUAAUAUUGAGAUGAUUUGAAAGAAACAAUUGUAGUAGUAAACACGCACAUACAUGUAUGAUACGUUCUUGGAACUUAAUUACGUCAUAGCAUUUCACAUCAUAUAUAUAUUCUCUCCGGAUAGAACCGAAAACAUCAGAACUCUUUGAAAUCACGAGUUUAUAAUGGAUAGACCAACGUUUUUCUACCAUACAACAUCAGCAGGAAAUGAAGCUAGGAUAAAAGAAGACAAUAUCCUGAAACCACAGGUACACAACCCAUCCUCAGAAUGGAUGUGGCUAGUAAAUCAACACCGUGAACUGGUACCUAAAGGGGUGUGGUUCUGUGCCACUCUCUAUAACGGAAAUUUGCCAACGAUUUCUCCGUAUGGUAAUAGACGAGUGAGGAUUCCUAUAGAUAGUGUCAUACAGCAACUUGGAGGAAAUGUGAAACUCUAUGCAGGAGUAACUGAUCAAAAAGUUGGAUACUACAACACCUAUGUCAGGUUGAUGCUCGUAAAAGAAGGAGACGAUUUUGAAAUAUUAAAGUAUAUGGAUCUCUUGGAUAUUGCCAAAAAUCCGUGGUUAACACUGACUGAUGAAUACAGAGUUGCGUGUAGACCAACCUGGGUGGAAAUCUACAUCCCCUACCCAAUCGAUGUCAGUGACUGUCUCUGGGAUCAGUUGCAAUAAUGUUAAAUCCAUGCAGAGUACAGAAAGGAAAGGACUCGGUUGUAAAAUUUACGAGGCAAGGAUUUAUAUCUGACUAACACAAAUACAAAACUUUCGAUUGGCAAUGGAGAAAAGAAGAAUUGAACUUUUUAAACAACGGUCAAAUACCAGUCGCAUGCUAUACUUAGCAAUUAUUGAAAAUUAUCUUGCUUAGAGACACAGCCACGGCAGCAUAGACUGAGGCGAUUCUCAGCUUCCCGAGAACCACAAACUGACACCGGUAGGAAGCCUCUAGCCGCGCACUUAGGAUCUUCAACUAAGAUUACGUGACCGACACAUACCAAUUUUAUGUGUGUGGUGUGUGUGUGUGUGUGUGUGUGGGGGGGGGGGGGGGGGGGGGGGGGGGGGUAGGGUUAUUUAAAGAAAAUGAAAAACUCGACAAUCAUAAUAGAGUUGUUUGUGGUGAAUAAAUUUGAACGGUUGCAUGGAUGACAUAUUCUAGUUACACCUAUGUCUUCAUGGUAUAUUAUGGCCUAGCCUUUGUUCAGUAGUAUGUUUCAUCAAUACUAAGUAUGUUUUAUGGUUUUAAUGUAAGAUUAGAACUUCCAGAUACCCACAAAAUAAUGUCAUGUUUUAUCUGUCAAAAAGUGACAAUAUUGCUGAAGAACAUGGUGUCAUAAGCCAAAUGACAUACAACUUAUCAAUAACUCAAUAACUACCAGCUUGGCGUGCAAUUAUAAUUAUUUAGCGAGACCAAUGAUACAAGAAGACAAGACUUUCUUGAUUUCUUGUGCAAUAUUUAUGUAAUCUGAUACUUCCAUAUGUGAUAUUACAUGUUCGUGAUUAUUUGUUUAUUUGUCUCUUCUUUCUUCUAAUUUUUUACCACAGCAUGAAUCAAAAGUGCUUUGCCAAUAUUUUGAUUUCCGUGUUUUAAUUAUGUUGAUAAAAUGUACAUAUCAAUCUAUACACAAUAAAUAGCAAGCGUAUUCACUGCAUGAAUUAAAUUAGGUUUGUUAUUUACCACAUGCCCACUCGGAGCACUACCUUUAAUAGUCUACUGAUUUUAAAGCUGUUCUUUUAUUUAUAAUAUACAUAUAUAUAUAUGUAAAAUAUCCACCUUUUCUCUAAGUUCGUCAUUUGUUUUAUAAUUUACACAUUAACUUAUUGAUAGAUAGGCCUUGUCAACGCUCUCAUGUUGCCGUAGUAUAUGACCCAGUUGUCACUACGAUUACAUAUUUAUAUAUUUAUUUAAUAAAACUGUGUGGAAUGUGAA